GAUGCAGUAUCACCUGUUAAAAUUCAUGCCAGUUCUUCUUGGCUUAGUUAGAGACUAUAAAUUUUAAAAACAAUGUUCUCUGUGGUUGUUUUAAACUUUCUUCAUCAUGUUAUUAACUACAUUGCUUUUAGUUCACUUCUCUAUCAGCCAUUUAUUAGAUGUAGUGUAACCAAAAGAGCCACAUCCUAUUUUUCUUGUUCUUGCGGUUUCUUCUUUUCUAGGAUUAAACUGAUUGGAGUAGAAUAAUUCAGGUUGGCAUGGUUGCGAACUUGAGGGACUUUCUGCAAAUUAACCAAUUGUGAAGGAAAAGAGGAUAUUAUCAGUACUAAGAGACUCAAAAUCUUACAGGAUUUCAGUUCGUGGAAAACCUUACAGAACUCAUGCACUUGCAACUGGAAAGCACAUUGCUUGAAGGACCAUUUCCAAGCAGUUUUGGUGCUUUGACCAAAUUAGACGUUCCUGAACAUAUUGGCAAGUUUUCCAAGUUGCAAUACCUGUAAGUAUCCUUGUCAUUCAUUAUCUAUA